rnacentral:rRNA from 1 species
AACGAACGCUGGCGGCAGGCCUAACACAUGCAAGUCGAGCGAGGACUUCGGUCCUAGCGGCGGACGGGUGAGUAACGCGUGGGAACGUGCCCUUUGCUUCGGAAUAGCCCUGGGAAACUGGGAGUAAUACCGGAUGAGCCCUUUGGGGGAAAGAUUUAUCGGCGAAGGAUCGGCCCGCGUUGGAUUAGGUAGUUGGUGGGGUAAUGGCCUACCAAGCCGACGAUCCAUAGCUGGUUGGAGAGGAUGAUCAGCCACACUGGGACUGAGACACGGCCCAGACCCCUCGGGGGGGGGCCGGGGGGGAUUUUAAAAAGAUGGGGGACCCCCUGACCUCCCCACGCCGGGGGAGCAAUGAGGCCGUUGGGUUUUAAAACCUCUUUCAGCGGGAAAUAUAAGGACGGUCCCAGAAGAAGACGCCCCGUCUACCUCCGUG